AAUAAAUUUAUGUUCUCGUUUAAUCAUGUUGAACUUGUGGUCAUUUGCGAAAUUUUGAUUCUUUCCUAGACGAACAGCGUAGAAGAGGUAGAUUCAGGCUUACUUCCGUCAAAUCAUAUACAUACCUGUUCCAUGUCGUUAUAUUUCGAUAGCCAGGCCCCGUAAAACGAAGAUUUCUUGCGGUUGUUGAGGCUGUGACACCCGAGUCCGCGAUGCUGCGUUCAGUCAUACCCAGCGGAGCCGCGCAAUCUAACGGAGAUCUACAACCAAAGAAUUCGGCUCGUAGGGAGAGAUAACCGCGCCAUUUUGUUGGACGAAAGCGGACGUCAUUCGUAUGUACUGUAGUGCGGUCGUCAUUGCCUUGGAACUCCUGAAAAAAUAAAAUAUUUCACUUAUAUAAAAACAUGGUAGACAAUUUGUCUGUACGAGUUUAUGCCUACCGUAGCAAACGACUGACACACGAUAAAAUCCCGACUGUACUCGAGUUUGUAUGAGGUCACCUAUUGGUCGGCGUCCGCUCGGCCCUGGGUCGCUACUUGUGUGAUUUUCGCUGUUUGCAUGAAGUCCACCUGAAUCCACUGGUCCUUGUUGCUCGUUUUAGCGGACCAGGAUCGGUCACCAUUCAGUCGGCUGUUCUGAGGGAUUAAACUUCUAGAGUGAUAGGAAGAGGCGGAUAUCUGCUGAUCUGCUGAUCUGUUAUCUGCCCCGUCUCCAUACCCAUGGCUGCCUUACACGACGGCAGGUCAACGUACUCAGCGCUCACGACUGAAAAAAUACAUUUUUUUUUAUAACGAAUGUUUGUCUUACCGUGUAUAGAAAUGGACAUCAACAGCAGUAGACCAAUCAGAUAUCGCCACGUCAUGACCAACGCCCUGAAACAGUAAUCACGUGAUAAUGUUAAACGAUCAUUCACAUAAAAUAAUGUUUAACUAUAAUACAUUUUCCAAAAGCCUUAGUUUGCCAUAGCAAAUUGGGUAGGACUCUAUCAUACCUGAUGAAAGAGGGGAGAAGGCUGUGGGAGUUUCAUGAAAACGAGGCAUGCUACCUGUGAAUGAAGAUGUCAGUCUGAUGUCUUCCGCGUCAAGCGCCGAAUGAUUAGGUAAGAAAUCGAACUCCUAUUUAUACGCAAACUGUUUGUUCUUCACUUGCGAAUUCGAAUAAAAGUUCGUUUUAGCUAUAAAAAAAACAGUUACGCAACCACCGACUUCAAACAUUUUUUUAGAUGGAGGAAAUAAAUACCUUACUCUCUACGGACUUUUCUUGUUUCGCUUAUUGCUUUUUUAUUUGCUUUGUUUUUUUUCUUUUGAAUUAAUGUGCCACAAACUUUUUUUAGCAUGUUAAAAUUUCUCAUGAUAGUAGUUGAUUUUAGUUUUUAUCGGGUGAAUGAUAGUUGACGAUAGUAUAUCACUUGGUGUUUAGCAAUAUCAGACCUGAUAACAUCCAAAAAGUACUCCUCUGCCAUCUCGCGCUAUCACUCCACUAUCAUUCACCGUUUGGCCACUACAAAGAGAGUCUAUGAUGGUUGAUGAUAGUUGGGUCCAAACUAUCACCAACUAUCUUUAUCGUUUGGCCGGAGCUUAAGGCAGUGGUCAAAGUAGAUCUGUCUCUGUAUAAAGUAAGUUUACAAGGAAGCCGUCGCAUAAUUCAGAAGAUUCAAUCUAAUUCUCCAACUUUCUAUUUUCUUUUUCUGUAGUGAGAAAAACAGAGCUUGGGCUACCUGAGUUUGCACGUGCCAAGUUUCGAGUUUACCGCGGCCGCGGGACGUUUUCUUACACGUGCAUUCAUUCUAACUUUAACUUCCAUCAUUUCGUCGUCAUUCCAUGCCGGGUCAAUAAAAACAUGUGAAAAUUAUAAUUACAGCCAAAUUCGUUGUUGUGCGACCUCGGCGAAUCCAAAAUCCAUGUCUCGUUUGGGAAUAGCGCGUAGUCAGACACAAACUUUGGGGGCGGUUUGUCUGGUUUUGAUUGUUUGGUUUGAUUGACUACGCGCUAUUCCAAAACGAAGAAAGGCGGGAUUUUGGAUUCUUGCAGGUCGCGCGACAACGACUUUGGCUGUAAUUCUCAGCGUAUUAGAUUGAUUUAGACAGCACAAGGUUUAGUCAUCGUAUGCGACCUGCCUACGACAUGUAUUAGCCCUGAAUUACACACUACGACUUUAGUAGUCGAGCAUCGUAGUGGAGUCGUAGGCUGAUUUACACUCUAGCACUUGAGUUAUAGAGGAGUAGCCGGCAAGUCGCAUACGACUAAAUCGCAAUGAAUUUUUUUAUCCUUUAAGUGGUGUUCAUAAAUACCCCGAGGGGUGUGGGGUUCACCAGCUGUUUAGAUUUCCUUGUGUUGGCAUUUGAUUUGAACUUCUGAAAACAUAUCGCUUAUCGUUUCUCCCCCCUUUGUCGGUUUGCGGUAAGAUAUCCCUAUUUUCACAACAUCGUCAUCUUCAUCAAGGAAUUUUAGCCAAGGGGUGCUCUUUAUCUAUUGUAAAACCACAGGAAAUCCAAACCGCAAGCCUCUUAGUACCUUCCGCCGGAAGUUUGCGGGAUGUAAAGGAUAUGUGCAUACUCGCGAUCCAUCAUCCGGGAAACCACGAGAAAAUGGCGCCAAAAGACUGGUGGUGAAAACUUGACCUCCAGAACUUACAGAAAGUGAAUGAGGUACACAAACAGAGAAUUGCCUUAUAAAAUCAUACAAAUACUCUCCUAUGAAAUUGAAAAGUAGCAGUACUUGAUAGUAAAUUUUGCAAAAAAAAAUAUUUGAAUAAAACUAAUUCCUUAGAUUGUUGACUUUGCAGUCGCCAUCAAAAAGAUGUGAUGUUCCUUGACUCCAUGACCGCCGGAAUUAAUGUUGAAAAUUGAGAUGAAGCGAAUUAUCCAGAGUAAUAAAAAUCCCCGUUUUGCUCUGUAUGUUUGGAUAAAGUGACCUGUGGAGGUUAUAAGGCUGUCACUUUGACAUUAGGGUGUUCAGUGUUCUGGAGACGGGAUAUAUGUGUGUGUAUUUGUAUGUAAACAGAGUGUUUUUCGUCGCCUAGCUUGACAUGUCAUGUUUUCGCUUUUUGCACCUCUUUUCUACAAUAGCGUGUGAAUGUGCUGUCAAUGAAAUGCAUUGAUGUGCCGAUAAAAGCCAGGGCCUGAUUAAGGAUGGGUAUCAAAUUCAAACCAAAAAAAAAAUCAUAGAAAUGACUAGGCCCUUCACAC